UUGAACUAAGGACCUUGCACUGGCGAGGCAGGCAGCAGCACCACUGAGCUAAAUCCCCGGCCCAAAUGGGCAGACUUUAAAUCUCCUAAGCAAUAAUGAAUCUGCAUUAUAUUUACAGUUUGUUUGGAAGUUUCCCGUUCCAUGGUUUCCUUUUUGAUGGCCCUGAAUAUAAUCUCUGCUUCCCUUUCUGCCUCCCGCCCCAGUCCGUGUGACUGUCCUUCACAAACACAUGCAGUUCAGCUGCUGUUCAACUCCAAGCCAGGGAUUAACUGAAUAGCAGAGGGCUAAUCAGAAGCAAAUCAACAAGAUAAGUCUUCCCAUGUUUAGAUUGGGACAUAUAAAUAAAGGGCUGUGUUCUUAUGACCUUAAAGUAGGGAAGGAUCAAACAGGGACCACUUAGCUACCUGGACAGCAGAAACAUUUGCAGAUUUGAAGACAACGGACACAAUAAGGGGAGGGUCUAUCAGCAGAGGCCCUGACGGAAGCCAGACCAUCCUAGGAGAUGAACUAAAAGGAAAUCAGCUCCUCUGGAUAAGAAGCCGAAGGACCAAGCACGGCACGAAGGCACCUCCGACCCCUGAUCAGCUUUGAAUCAGUCCAGCUGAUGUCAACACAGGCCCUGCUUGGACGCUCUCCAGCAGAGGGCUCUUCUUCAGGGAUCUGAGUGCACUGGGCGCUUCCCACAUCCGCAGCGUGACCUGGCCCUGGGCAUCCCUGGGGCGACUCCAGACCCUCAGCGCAGUGGUGAGCGAUGUCUCUGUGCCGACUGCUGACUCCAGAGCCAUCCUCAAGCGGAAGCCCAGCUCCAGAAUCCUCCCAACCCAGGACUGCUUCAGCAUCCACAGGAUGGUGCCCCAAGUGGGACAUUCCAUGCCUGAGGACACGGGACCUGUCCCAGUCAAACUGCAGGCUCAUGAAAUUAUCCUCAGCUAGGUGUGUAAGAAUACCAACCACCCACGUCGUGUUUCCACUGUGUUAAGUAUCAAGCUGGUCCAGAGCUGAUGUGCCCCGGAGCUUCCGUGCAAACACUGAGUACUGGUGACCAAGAGGAUCCCAGAACCACAGCCCAAUGGAUACUGAAGCCCAACUGUGUAUAUAU